UUUGAUAUGGGGAGGAUAAGAUCUAAGAUGGAGUUCAAAGAAUAAAGUAAAAGCCUUGCUCUAACACUAGUUGGAUCAGCAAACACGGUUUGGUUUAUCAAACCAAAUACUAGUUAGAGCAAGUAAGAAAUUGAUGUGGGGAGGAUACGAUCUGAGAUUGAGUUCAGAGAAUGAAGCAGAAGCCUUGCUCUUACACUAGUUGGAUCAGAAAAAAUGGCUUGAUAAACCAAACCAAGUACUAGUUAGAGGAAGUAAGAGUUUGAUAUGGGGAGGAUAACAUCUAAGAUGGAGUUCAGAGAAUGAAGCAAAACCUUGUUCUCACACUUGUACGAUCAGAAAACAAAGUUUGGUUUAUCAAACCAUGUACUAGUUAGAGCAAGUAAGAGUUUGAUUUGGGGAGGGUAAGAUCUAAGAUGGAGUUCAGAGAAAUGAAACAGAAGCCUUGCUCUUACACUAGUUGGAUCACAAAACAUUGUCUGGUUUAUCAAAUCAAGUGCUAGUUGAAACAAAUGAGAGUUUGACAUUGGGAGAAUAAGAUCUGAGAUGGAUUUCAAAGAAUGAAGUAAAAGCCUUGCAUUUACACUAGUUGGAUCAAGAAACAAGGUUUUGGUUAAUCAAAUCAAGUACUAGUUAGAGCAAGUAAGAGUUUGAUAUGGGGAGGAUAAGAUCUAAGAUGGAUUUCAAAGAUUGAAGUAAAUUCCUGCUCUUACACUAGUUGGAUCACGAAACAUGGUUUGGUUUAUCAAAUCAAGUACUAGUUAGAGCAAGUAAGAGUUUGACAUCGGGAGGAUAAGAUCAUAGAUGGAGUUCAUAGAAUGAAGCAAAAGCCUUGCUCUUACACUAGUUGGAUCAGAAAAAAGGUUUGAUAAACCAAACCAUGUACUAGUUAGAGGAAGUACGAGUUUGAUAUGGGGAGGAUAAGAUCGAAGAUUGCAUGAGUUCAUAGAAUGAAGCAAAACCUUGGUCUAGCACUGGUUGGAUCAGGAAACAUGGUUUGGUUUAUCAAAUUAAGUACUAGUCAGAGCAAGUAAGAGUUUGAUAUGGGGAGGAUAAGAUCUAAGAUGGAGUUCAAAGAAUGAAGUAAAAAUCUUGCUCUUACACUAGUUGGAUCGUGAAACAAGGUUUGGUUUUUUAAACCAAGUACUAGUUCCAAUUAAGAGCGUAUAUGGGGAGGAUAAGAUCUAAGAUGGAGUUAAAAAAAUAGAGCAGAAGUCUUGCUCUUACACUAGUUGGAUCACAAAAAAGUUUGAUAAACCAAACCAAGUACUAGUUGAAGGAAGUAAUAGUUUGAUAUGGGGCGGAUAAGAUCUAAGAUGGAGUUCAAAGAAUGAAGUAAAAGCCUUGCACUUACAUUAGUUGGAUCAAGAAACAGGGUUUGGUUUAUCAAACCAAGUAUUAGUUAGAGCAAGUAAGAGUUUGACAUGGGGAGGAUAAGAUCUAAGAUGGAGUUCAGAUAGAAGCAAAACCUUACUCUUACACUAGUUGGAUCAGAAAACAUUGUUUGGUUUAUCAAACCAAGUACUAGUUAGAUUAAGUAAGAGUUUGAUAUGAGGAGGAUAAGAUCUAAGAUGGAGUUCAGAGAAUGAAGCAAAACUGUAUUUACACUAGUUGGAUCAGAAAAAAAGGUUUGAUAAACCAAACCAAGUACUAGUUAGAGGAAGUAAGAGUUUGAUAUGAGGAAGAUAAGAUCUAAGAUGGAGUUCAGAUGGAAGCAAAACCUUGCUCUUACACUAGUUGUAUCAAGAAACAAAAUUUGGUUUAUCAAACCAAGUACUAGUUAGAGCAAGUUAGAGUUUGAUAUGAGGAGGAUAAGAUCUAAGAUGGAGUUCAGAGAAUGAAGCAAAACCUUGCUCUCACACUAGUUCGAUCAGAAAACAAGAUUUGAUCAACGAAACAAAAUACUAGUUUGAGCAAGUACGAAAUUGAUGUGGGGAGGAUAAGAUCUAAGAUUGAGUUCAGAUAAUGAAGCAGAAGCCCUGCUCUUUCACUAGUUGUAUCAGCAAACAUGGUUUGGUUUUAUCAAGCAGAGUACUUGUAAGAGGAAGUAAGAGUUUGAUAUGGGGAGGAUAAGAUCUAAGAUGGAUUUCAAAGAUUGAAGUAAAAUCCUUGCUCUUACACUAGUUGUAUCAGCAAACAUGGUUUGGUUUAUCAAACAAAAUACUAGUUAGAGCAAGUAAGAGUUUGAUAUGGGGAAGAUAAGAUCGGAGAUGGAGUUCAGAGAAUGAAACAGAAGCCUUGCUCUUACACUAGUUGGAUCGCGAAACAUGGUUUGGUUUAUCAAACCAAGUACUAGUAAGAGUAAGUAAGAGUUUGAUAUUUGGAGGAUAAGAUCUAAGAUGGAGUUCAAAGCAUGAAGUAAAAAUCUUGCUCUUACACUAGUUGGAUCGUGAAACAAGGUUUGAUUUAUCAAACUAAGUACUAGUUCGAGCAAGUAAGAGCGUAUAUGGGAAGGAUAACAUCUAAGAUGGAGUUCAAAAAAUAGAGCAGAAGUCUUGUUCUUACACUAGUUGGAUCACAAAAAAGUUUGAUAAACCAAACCAAGUACUAGUUGAAGGAAGUAAUAGUUUGAUAUGGGGAGGAUAAGAUCUAAGAUGGAGUUCAAAGAAUGAAGUAAAAGCCUUGCUCUUACACUAGUUGGAUCAGCAAACAUGGUUUUGUUUAUCAAGCCAAGUACUAGUUAGAGCAAGUAAGAGUUUGACAUGGGGAGGAUAAGAUCUAAGAUGGAGUUCAAAGAAUGAAGUAGAAGCCUUGCUCUUACACUAGUUGGAUCAGAAAAAAAGGUUUGAUGAACCAAACCAAGUACUGGGUAGAGGAAGUAAGAGUUUGACAUGGGGAGGAUAAGAUCUAAGAUGGAGUUCAAAGAAUAAAGUAAAAGCCUUGCUCUUACACUAGUUGGAUCAGAAAAAAAGGUUUGAUGAACCAAACCAAGUACUAGUUAGAGGAAGUACGAGUUUGAUAUGGGGAGGACAAGAUCUAAGAUUGAGUUCAUAGAAUGAAGCAAAACCUUGCUCUAACACUAGUUGGAUCAGGAAACAAGGUUUGGUUUAUCAAACAAAUUACUAGUUUGAGCAAGAAAGAGUUUGAUAUGGGGAGGAUAAGAUCUAAGAUGGAGUUCAACAAUGAAACAGAAGCCUUGCUCUUACACUAGUUGGAUCAGGAAACCCGGUUUGGUUCAUCAAAUCAAGUACUAGUUUGAGCAUGUAAGAGCUGAUAUGGGGAGGAUAAGAUCUAAGAUGGAGUUCAAAAAAUAGUGCAGAAGUCUUGCUCUUACACUAGUUGGAUCAGAAAAAUGGUUUGAUAAACCAAACCAAGUACUAGUUAGAGCAAGUAAGAGUUUAAUAUGGGGAGGAUAAGAUCUAAGAUGGAGUUCAGAGAAUGAAGUAAAAGCCUUGCUCUUACACUAGUUGGAUCAGGAAACAAGGUUUGAUAAACCAAACCAAGUACUAGUUAGAGCAAGUAAUAGUUUGAUAUGGGGAGGAUAAGAUCUAAGAUGGAGUUCAAAGAAUGAAGCAGAAGCCUUGCUCUUACACUAGUUGGAUCAGCAAACAUGGUUUGGUUGAUCAAAUCAAGUACUAGUUAGAGCAAGUAAGAGUUUGAUAUGGGGAGGAUCAGAUCUAAGAUUGAGUUCAAAGAAUGAAGUAAAAAACUUGCUCUUACACCAGUUGGAUCAUGAAACAAGGUUUGAUUUAUCAAACUUAGUACUAGUUCGAGCAAGUAAGAGCGUAUAUGGGGAGGAUAACAUCUAAGAUGGAGUUCAAAAAAUAGAGCAGAAGUCUUGCUCUUACACUAGUUGGAUCACAAAAAAGUUUGAGAAACCAAACCAAGUACUAGUUAGAGGAAGUAAGAGUUUGAUAUGGGGAGGAUAAGAUCUAAGAUGGAGUUCAAAGAAUAAAGUAAAAGCCUUGCUCUUACACUAGUUGGAUCAG